UCAUGUGCAGGAAACACUUCAUUAUUUUCUGAUCUGCCGCCAAAUCCACGCAGCUGAAUAAUUCAGGCGCUGCGGGCCCCCGUGCCAGAAUAACAGGGAUAACUAGAUACCUGGGGCUCUGCGGCUCCCCGGGCAGGCAAGGUGACACGUGUUGGCGGUUCCUGGAGAGCCCGCCCCGUGUGACCGGUGGAACCCGUCUCCCUCCGCCGCCGCGUCUCCCGGGCACGCUCACUCACUCACCGGCUCAUUCGGAGGCUUGCAGCAAACUGUAAACUAGCAACCAGCCCUGGUUUGGAAUUCGUCACGCUGCUGGAAGUCCCUGCAAGGGGAAUGUAAACACAGAUUCUGCGUUCCUUUUGGGUGGAAGCAAAUUGAGGGGCAACGAGCAACGGCACGGGCUUAUAGGGAAAUGCUGUCCAACACAUACGUGAUAGAAACUCCGACAUUUACAAUCUAGGAAAAGACCAGGCUCCUUCUGCCUCUGCUCCCAGCCACUGCCCCCUGUGCCCAGGCCCGUUCAUACCUUGCGUGGAGGACCCGGUCAUUCACGGCCCCAGCUGGGGACACUCCCUGCUCCCAGGGUGCUCCUUCCGCCACCCCAUCUCCCUGCUGCCCAGAAAUGACUCUCCUCACCAUCAAACCUUCGAAGACACGGAGACCAUCUUCACAUCAACCCACCAGAGACAGCCGACUGCCUGGAAUUCUCUAGAAGGCAUCACUCUGAACCUUGGACCAGACAAACAUUGCUUGCUGGGCGAUCUGCCCAGUCACCCAACCUCUGCAUCCAGGAUGGGAGCAUCUCGACAUCUUUCGCCAUCAAACCAGGACGUGCUGUGAUGAUGCCACGUUUUUAAAAAUUCAUACAUUUGUCGAGUGUCAUGUAUGCUUCCUAUCUACAAACAAACACGUUACUACUAGACAUUGAUCAUUACCGUUGAGCCUGGAAUUCUUAGGGAUUUUUAAAAAGGGUUAACAACAACAACAACAAAAAUCGGAACAAACACUUCAAUACUGAUUUCCAAGUAAUUAUCUUAAAUUUGUA